rnacentral:tRNA from 1 species
CUGCGCGUGGCUCAGCUUGGUAGGGCACUUGCUUGGGGUGCAAGAGGUCGGAGGUUCAAAUCCUCUCGCGCAGACCA